rnacentral:rRNA from 1 species
GUGGCAGCCGCCGCGGUAAUACGUAGGGUGCAAGCGUUAAUCGGAAUUACUGGGCGUAAAGCGUGCGCAGGCGGUUUGUUAAGAUAGGCGUGAAAUCCCCGGGCUCAACCUGGGAACUGCGUUUAUGACUGGCAGGCUCGAGUAUGGCAGAGGGGGGUGGAAUUCCACGUGUAGCAGUGAAAUGCGUAGAGAUGUGGAGGAACACCGAUGGCGAAGGCAGCCCCUUGGGUUAACACUGACGCUCAUGUACGAAAGCGUGGGGAGAAAACAGGAUUAAAUACCCUGGUAGUCUACGCCAUAA